rnacentral:lncRNA from 1 species
UUAUGAGUGAUCUGAUAGUUUUGUAUAAAAAUAAUAUUAAAAAAGAUAUAAUACUAAAAUAUAUAAUUUUACUAUUUUAUAUCAUACUGAUAAAUUGCUAAUACAUUGAUGAAAAAAUUAAUAAAAAUGUACAGAACUUACAUAAAUUAUCGACUAUUUUGAUUUGGCUAUCGAAUAUUUUAAAAUUUUGCAAUUUAUUUGAUCUGAAUAAGUUGAAAGUAUUUUGAUUUUAACAUUUAAAUAUAUUAUUAUUUAGGUCUACAUAUUUAAUUAAUAUAUUUUAUGUAAUUCUCACAAAUAUAAAUUUAUAAAAGUAAGAAAUUAGUUUAAAUUUUAAAGAGAAAGUGCUGUCGACUGACUAAAAUCAAACAAACUGAAAGAUUGAAUACUAAAAUCAGAAAUUUAAAAGAUUGAAUAAAUUCAGAUAAAUUUAGUAAAUUUUUU